rnacentral:lncRNA from 1 species
AGUCUGAAUAACAGGAACGAGAUUCGAGUUUUUGCACCAUCUAUAUAAAGGCUUCAAUUAUUGGGUUUUAGCUCAAGUAAUCUUCUUCAAUUUGAUUCCCAAACUAAUACCUACCAAAGUCCCAUUACUAAGCAAAGACGGUUCACCAAACCAAGAAAUAAUCAAGCAACAAUCAUAGAUCUCAUAUGCUGCAAAGAGAAGAUGGAAUGAAUAUGUAGAAAUUUGAAUAAGAAAUCAGAAGCGAAAGCGUCAAGGAGAAAAUUUUGGAAGAGGAUCUGUGUCAACGAAAGGGAGCGACAGUUAUUAGGAGGAAAAAUAGAGGCUAUGCGUCAUCGAAGGAGAGCAAACAACUCAUAAAGGUUAGCAAAAUGUCAAAACUACCCUCACUUUUGGUUUAAAUGAUAUGAAGCAGACAUGUCGAAACUUGAGCGAGGCACAUAAUAAUGAACAUCCAAAGAGGAGUGUAAUGAAAAUAUUAUUGUGGGUGUUCAUUUAUUACUCCGCUGUAGAUAAUCUUCUUCAUUAGUACUCCAUUGAAGUUUUCUAUAAGCAGUUGAUGCUGUAAGCACAUGAUUUUUGCCCUAUAUGAGAAUUACUCCCAAAAAUUCAAAAUAAAAUGAUUUUCCUUGGUGUGCAAUUUUGAGAAUUUUUAUGACAUUUUCGGAUAAUUAUUUGUGGUUAUCUGUGCAUGUUUAUUUGUUAAAUUAAUAAAAAAUACAAAAAUAUGUCGCAUUUUUCAUGUAGGAUUUAAUUCUACAAUUUUUAGUAAUUGAGUUUGUUUUACAAAAAUUAAAAAUUACAAAAAUAGGCAUCUUUUGCAUUUUUAGCAUUUAAUGUCUAAAUAUACAAUUUUAUGCUUAAUUAUUACUUAAUUGUGCGUUAAUUGUUAUUGGGAGUUAAUUUGCGCUUUUAUAACUUAAUUUAAGUAUUUUUAUAAUUUAGUUUUAGAAAAAUAAAAGAAGAAAAGAGAGCAAAAAUAUAAAGAAAAUCUGAAUUGGGCCUCUUCUUCAAUUUCAAACCACAGGCCCAAAAAAUUGCCCAACCUUCCCCAUGACCCGGUCCAUUUUAAACCGGGUCGACCCAGUCCAUAACCCAACACCCCUAUUAUCUUACAUUUCAUAAAACAACACAAAACAAAAAAAACCCUAAAAACUAAC